GACGGGGGGGGCAAGUGUUCUUCGGAAUGACUGGGCGUAAAGGGCACGUAGGCGGUGAAUCGGGUUGAAAGUGAAAGUCGCCAAAAACUGGCGGAAUGCUCUCGAAACCAAUUCACUUGGGUGAGACAGAGGAGAGUGGAAUUUCGUGUGUAGGGGUGAAAUCCGUAGAUCUACGAAGGAACGCCAAAAGCGAAGGCAGCUCUCUGGGUCCCUACCGACGCUGGGGUGCGAAAGCGUGGGGAGCAAACAGG
rnacentral:rRNA from 1 species